AGCUUUGCACAGUAGCAGAAUCACAGCCAAUGAGGCUUAGAGGUACGAUUAUUGCUAAUUGAAAACUUAUGUCACACCCUUUGC
rnacentral:snRNA from 1 species